CAGUAGCCGCGGGAAUACAGAGGAUGCAGGCGUUAUCCGGAAUGAUUGGGCGUAAAGCGUCUGUAGGUGGCUUUUCAAGUCCGCUGUCAAAUCCCAGGGCUCAACCCUGGACAGGCGGUGGAAACUACCAAGCUAGAGUACGGUAGGGGCAGAGGGAAUUUCCAGUGGAGCGGUGAAAUGCGUUGAGAUCGGAAAGAACACCAACGGCGAAAGCACUCUGCUGGGCCGACACUGACACUGAGAGACGAAAGCUAGGGGAGCAAAUGGGAUUAGAUACCCCCGUAGUCCCUGUCUCUUAUAC
rnacentral:rRNA from 1 species